rnacentral:rRNA from 1 species
AACGAACGCUGGCGGCAUGCCUAACACAUGCAAGUCGAACGAGACCUUCGGGUCUAGUGUCCCACGAGUUCGUCACCCGUGGGAACCUGCCCUUAGGUUUGGGCUAACUCCAAGAAUGGGGUGCUAUUACCGGAUAAUGUCUUCUGCCCAAAGAUUUAUCGCCUUUGAUUGUGCAAGAGUUGGAUUAGCUAGUUGGUAGGGUAAAAGACUACUAAGGCGACGAUCAAUAGCUGGUUUGAGAGGAUGGUCAGCAACACUGGGACUGAGACACGGCCUAGACUCUUACGGGAGGCAGCAGUGGGGAAUAGUGGACAAUGGGCGAAAGCCUGAUCCAGCAAUGCCGCGUGAGUGAUGAAGGCCUUAGGGUUGUAAAGCUCUUUUAACCGGGAUGAUAAUGACAGUACCGGGAGAAUAAGCCCCGGCUAACUCCGUG